rnacentral:rRNA from 1 species
AUGGAAUUUGAGUCAAGUGAUGAAGAUUAUUCGUAUGAUGAAGAUGAGGAGGGGCACAUUGUUAGAAGGAAGAGCAAGUACCCUAGAUUUGACCCUCAUAUUGAUAUUCCACACUUUAGUUUGGGGAUGGUUUUUAGAAGCAAAAAUCAAUUUGUCAAAGCAAUUAAGAGAUAUGGUCUUGCUACAAAAAGAAGCAUCAAUUUCUUGAAGUCUAAGGAGGUGAGCAUCAGAGCCAAAUGUAGAUGGCAUGGGUGCCCAUGGCUUGUAUAUGGAGCAAAGACUAGCAGGUACUCAAGGUUUGAAAUCACUACAUAUGAGGAUGAGCACCAUUGUGCACAGAACAGGGAAAACAGGCUUGUUUCUGCAAAGGUCAUACCAGAAAGAUAUGAACAUUUCAUCCUUGCCAAUCCAAUGUGGAAAAUUGAUAGCAUCAAAGCCACUAUCCUCAAAGAUAAGUUUGCUGAUGUGUCAACAUCAAAGUGCAAGGCAGCAAAAAAGAUUGUCAUGGAUAAGUUGAUGUGUGGUAUGAAGAGUGAGUAUACUAAAAUCUUUUACUAUCAGUUAGAGUUGCUUAGAAGUAACCCCGGAAGUACUGUAGCUGUUUGCUUGGAUCCAAAAUAA